GAUGAAGAACGUAGCGAAAUGCGAUAAGUAAUGCGAAUUGCAGAAUUCAGUGAGUCAUCGAAUCUUUGAACGCACAUUGCGCCCUGUGGUAUUCCGCAGGGCAUGCCUGUUCGAGCGUCAUUUCAACCCUCAAGCCUCGCUUGGUGUUGGGCGACGUCCUCUUUGGGGACGCGCCUCGAAACGCUCGGCGGCGUGGCACCGGCUUUAAGCGUAGCAGAAUCUUUCGCUUUGGAAGUCGGGGCCCCGUCUGCCGGAAGACCUGCUCGCAAGGUUGACCUCGGAUCAGGCAGGGAUACCCGCUGAACUUAAGCAUAUCAAUAAGCGGAGGA
rnacentral:misc_RNA from 1 species